UGGUUGGUGCGUUUCUACUUAGG
rnacentral:snRNA from 1 species